rnacentral:rRNA from 1 species
GAUGAACGCUGGCGGCGUGCCUAAUACAUGCAAGUCGAGCGAACAGACGAGGAGCUUGCUCCUCUGACGUUAGCGGCGGACGGGUGAGUACCACGUGGAUAACCUACCUAUAAGACUGGGAUAACUUCGGGAAACCGGAGCUAAUACCGGAUAAUAUAUUGAACCGCAUGGUUCAAUAGUGAAAGACGGUUUUGCUGUCACUUAUAGAUGGAUCCGCGCCGCAUUAGCUAGUUGGUAAGGUAACGGCUUACCAAGGCAACGAUGCGUAGCCGACCUGAGAGGGUGAUCGGCCACACUGGAACUGAGACACGGUCCAGACUCCUACGGGAGGCAGCAGUAGGGAAUCUUCCGCAAUGGGCGAAAGCCUGACGGAGCAACGCCGCGUGAGUGAUGAAGGUCUUCGGAUCGUAAAACUCUGUUAUUAGGGAAGAACAAAUGUGUAAGUAACUAUGCACGUCUUGACGGUACCUAAUCAGAAAGCCACGGCUAACUACGUG